rnacentral:lncRNA from 1 species
AUGCUUCUACCAGAAUGAAAAAUUUCGUUUGACCUGGAACGUAUCAGACAAAUGUGAACGACGGACUUGCUAUGCUGAUAGCAAAGUUGUGGUGGUAACGAAGUGCGGAGAUAUCCCGGAAGGCUGUUACCUAAGCUCAAAAGAGCGGCAACCUCUGCCAUUAUGCUGCAAUACUACUUGCAACAUAAAGACAUACAUGUGUCUCACCCGCGACGGUAGACUGUUGAAGAAUGGAGAUGAACUCAACUUGAGGGAUCCAUGCGUGAGGUACAUUUGCAAGAACGGAAUACUUGUCACACAGACAUGCCAAACGUACACGGACCCGAAAUGCAGUGCUUCUCAAGUGGACAAAUGCGCGCCAUAUCCGGCAUGCUGCGGCGUUGCGAAAGUUUGUGCAGGUUAAAAAUUUUGCAGCGAAUUCAA